rnacentral:tRNA from 2 species
GGAGGGUUGACAGAGUUGGUCGAAUGUACCGGUUUUGAAAACCGGCGAGGUGCAAGCCUCCGGGGGUUCGAAUCCCUUACCCUCUUCCA